UUCUUGGAGGGAAGGAUGCCGGAGGUCUAUUUGGAACAGCCUCUCUACCCCAUGGUAGGGGUAAGGUCUGCGUAUAUACUACCCUCCCUAGACCCGACUAAGUAAAAUUUUAGGGUUGUUGUAUUCUGGCAACUAGCAAAUAAGAAAGACCACUGUGGGUGAAAUGAGUGCAUGGGAUCUAUAUGAAAAAAAUACUGAUAUUUGGAGUCACCAACCUCCAAAUGAUUGUUGUUGGUAUUGGAAGAAGAUUAUCUCUUUAAAAGUGGUGAUGCAAGACUGGUACCAAGAAGGGAACUACAUCCAUGGGACAUACUCCAUCUCUAGCAGUUAGAGCCACUAAGAAGAAUGAGAAAUGCUGAACUAAUUUGGAGUUCCAUUCCACAACCAAAAC
rnacentral:lncRNA from 1 species